rnacentral:rRNA from 1 species
CGUAGGGUGCAAGCGUUAAUCGGAAUUACUGGGCGUAAAGCGUGCGCAGGCGGUUUUGUAAGUCUGUCGUGAAAUCCCCGGGCUCAACCUGGGAAUUGCGAUGGAGACUGCAAGGCUAGAAUCUGGCAGAGGGGGUAGAAUUCCACGUGUAGCAGUGAAAUGCGUAGAGAUGUGGAGGAACACCGAUGGCGAAGGCAGCCCCCUGGGUCAAGAUUGACGCUCAUGCACGAAAGCGUGGGAGCAAACAGGAUU